GAUGAACGCUGGCGGCGUGCCUAAUACAUGCAAGUCGAGCGAACAGACGAGGAGCUUGCUCCUCUGACGUUAGCGGCGGACGGGUGAGUAACACGUGGAUAACCUACCUAUAAGACUGGGAUAACUUCGGGAAACCGGAGCUAAUACCGGAUAAUCUAUUGAACCGCAUGGUUCAAUAGUGAAAGACGGUUUUGCUGUCACUUAUAGAUGGAUCCGCGCCGCAUUAGCUAGUUGGUAAGGUAACGGCUUACCAAGGCGACGAUGCGUAGCCGACCUGAGAGGGUGAUCGGCCACACUGGAACGGAGACACCGUCCAGACUCCUAAGGGAGGCAGCAGUAGGGAAUCUUACGCAAUGGGCGAAAGCCUGACGGAGCAACGCCGCGUGAGUGAUGAAGGUCUUCGGAGCGUAAAACUCUGUUAUGAGGGAAGAACAAAUGUGUAAGUAACUAUGCACGUCUUGACGGUACCUAAUCAGAAAGCAACGGCUAACUACGUG
rnacentral:rRNA from 1 species